CGGUGCGGAAGCGCCGGCCGCGCAGCGCCGCCUUGAUGGCGGCGGCCACGGCGGCCGGAUCGCCGGGUCGCGGUUCUGCCGCCGCGUGCUGCGGC
rnacentral:tRNA from 1 species